rnacentral:rRNA from 1 species
GAUGAACGCUGGCGGCGUGCCUAAUACAUGCAAGUCGAGCGAACAGACGAGGAGCUUGCUCCUCUGACGUUAGCGGCGGACGGGUGAGUAACACGUGGAUAACCUACCUAUAAGACUGGGAUAACUUCGGGAAACCGGAGCUAAUACCGGAUAAUAUAUUGAACCGCAUGGUUCAAUAGUGAAAGACGGUUUUGCUGUCACUUAUAGAUGGAUCCGCGCCGCAUUAGCUAGUUGGUAAGGUAACGGCUUACCAAGGCGACGAUGCGUAGCCGACCUGAGAGGGUGAUCGGCCACCCUGGAACUGGGACACGGUCCCGACGCCUACGGGAGGCAGCAGUAGGGAAUCUUCCGCAAUGGGCGAAAGCCUGACGGAGCAACGCCGCGUGAGUGAUGAAGGUCUUCGGAUCGUAAAACUCUGUUAUUAGGGAAGAACAAAUGUGUAAGUAACUAUGCACGUCUUGACGGUACCUAAUCAGAAAGCCACGGCUAACUACGUG